UGCGUAGGCGGCUUUGCAAGUCAGAUGUGAAAUCUAUGGGCUCAACCCAUAAACUGCAUUUGAAACUGUAGAGCUUGAGUGAAGUAGAGGCAGGCGGAAUUCCCCGUGUAGCGGUGAAAUGCGUAGAGAUGGGGAGGAACACCAGUGGCGAAGGCGGCCUGCUGGGCUUUAACUAACGCUGAGGCACGAAAGCGUGGUAGCAAACA
rnacentral:rRNA from 1 species